AUGUGGAUGUUGCAAAUUUAGAAUAUAAACAAACUAAAAUGUCAACUAUAUGUUCGUUUUAGUUGUUAAAGAUCCAUGUGCUUAUGAUUUAUGCAGGUCAACUAUCCGAGAUAAGAUUAUUCCACAUGCAGUUUCAUGGUUUACUGGGGAAGCUGCUCAGGAUGAAGAUUACAUUGACUUAGAAGAUGAUGAGGAUGAAGAAGAAGAUGAAGAUGAAGAAGAAGAAGAAGAUGAAGAUGAAGAUGAAGAUGAAGAUGAAGAUGAAGAGGAUGAGGAGGAUGAAGAUGAGAAGAAGAAGAAGAAGAAGAAGAUGAAGAUGAAGAUGAAGAUGAAGAUGAAGAUGAAGAGGAUGAGGAGGAUGAAGAUGAUGAUGAUGAUGAUGAACAUGUUACAAAGACCAAGAAGAAGGUAAUUGAACUGUUAGUAACACAAAUAUCAUUGUUAGUUGAGAUGUCCAUUAGUGCUAACCAUUUUCCUCUUUUUUGUUUCAA
rnacentral:lncRNA from 1 species